UGUCUUCGGGCACUAGUGGCGGACGGGUGAGUAACGCGUGGGAACAUACCCUUUGGUACGGAAUAGCCUCGGGAAACUGAGAGUAAUACCGUAUGUGCCCUUCGGGGGAAAGAUUUAUCGCCAAAGGAUUGGCCCGCGUUGGAUUAGGUAGUUGGUGGGGUAAUGGCCUACCAAGCCGACGAUCCAUAGCUGGUUUGAGAGGAUGAUCAGCCACACUGGGACUGAGACACGGCCCAGACUCCUACGGGAGGCAGCAGUGGGGAAUCUUAGACAAUGGGGGAAACCCUGAUCUAGCCAUGCCGCGUGAUCGAUGAAGGCCUUAGGGUUGUAAAGAUCUUUCAGAUGGGAAGAUAAUGACGGUACCAUCAGAAGAAGCCCCGGCUAACUCCGUGCCAGCAGCCGCGGUAAUACGGAGGGGGCUAGCGUUAUUCGGAAUUACUGGGCGUAAAGCGCACGUAGGCGGAUUAGAAAGUCAGAGGUGAAAUCCCAGGGCUCAACCUUGGAACUGCCUUUGAAACUCCUAGUCUUGAGGUCGAGAGAGGUGAGUGGAAUUCCGAGUGUAGAGGUGAAAUUCGUAGAUAUUCGGAGGAACACCAGUGGCGAAGGCGGCUCACUGGCUCGAUACUGACGCUGAGGUGCGAAAGCGU
rnacentral:rRNA from 1 species